rnacentral:tRNA from 1 species
AGGGGUUUAAGUUAAAUAAACUAAUAGCCUUCAAAGCUUUAAAUGAUUCAAAAUCAACCUCUA